CCUCUCAGAGGCACAGGAAAGGAAUAUUCACUGAACGUCAUCAUCUCAUGGGAGCAGGACCUGAAUUUUUUACUUUCAGUGCCCUCCAAUGCAGUGACUCUUUUUCUAAAGUAUGUAGGUCUCAUCUGCAUUUCAACAUUUUACGUAAAUUUUACCUUAGGAUGGCACUAGUUCUUUUAAAAUAAUAACAGAACAAAGUCUCAAUGAAAAUGCUUCAACAGCAAUGGUGAGAGCCAAAAAACCAAACUAAAAAGACCUCACCAUCAUUGUUUGCUAAAUAUGUGCUUUAUAAGCAUGAAUGACUUGCUUCUAAAACUGGUAAAAAGGAGUGCAGCAUUCACAACUCCUACUACUCCUACUACUCACAAAGCCAGUGGCUAGUUAAGUUUAGGACAUGUUAUCCCAAUUUAUGCUUUCAGAGAGAGUCAAAUUUCUACUAAUCCUGGAAAAAAACCAACAGUAACUUGACUUUAGAUAAGAAAUGAAAUGCAUGCGCAUACACAAGAAAGGCAGGCUCCUUAUAUCGCCCAGCACAGGAUGUCAGGCUAAUGACAGAAUCAUAAGAUCAACUUUGGUACUCCCAGACUUCAGUACUUCCAGAAACAUACUGUUGCCAACAACUGCAAAGAAACUGCAAAUAAACUGCAAAUAAAGUGGCAUUGCCAGAUAUCAGAUGGGAUGAAGGCUGGACUGGCCUCUUACUGAAGAGAUGGAAAAGCAAAAUUUGUACAGGCACAAGGACACCUUGCUAGAAUUUGAUUUACUUAUGAGUGUCACUUGGCUUUAUCUUCCUUCUGACUAGAAAGUUUUUUUGAACCACAGAAUGUUAAUUGGUAUGAAGUGAUAAUAUCUGCAGGAGAAGAUAAGGUAUUGUCCUAAGGACUAAUUGCACAGCUUGACUUCCUAAUUUGUUAGAAUAGAUGAAAAGUCCUCACAAAGGGGAACACAGGCUUAAAACUGCUGGCAGAUUUUUCUACCUCAUUUUUGAAUAAUAAAACAAAGUAGACACAAUCAUGAUCUACUUGUAGAUAAUCUGCUGGUCAAAAAAUUAGUUGAACAAAUUGUUCCUUCUGGUAUGCAAGUUAAAAUAAACAUGCACACACCAGAGAGAAUUAUUAUUGAGGUGUUUAUAAAAGCAGGAUAUCUUGUAAGUACUAAGCAAGAAAAAUCCAAUCACUUAUCUCUCCUUUUAAAUAUGUAGGUACAUGAAACAUGUGGUCCUUAAGCAAGCUGGUAUAAGGCUGAAGUCAUCCCUGCUUUGAGCAGGGAGUCAGACAAAGUGAUCUCCAGCAUUCCUUCCAACCUAAAUAGUCCUUGGAUUCUAUUAAAUGUCCUCAAAUAGUAAGGUUAUGUAAAAUUACUUCAGACCUAAAAGUCCAUCUCAGGUCUAACACCAGAGAUGCGAUCGGCUUUAGUGGAAGGGGCCGAAGUCCUCUCUGAGCUCCACAGUUUAUCCUCAUCCUCAGGUUGCCCCAUCCUCAGGUUGGCCCAUCAGUCCCCAGCUGUCUUGUCCUGGCUUUCUACCUAACCCUGUAACAGCAAGUGAUUUUAGCUUGCUCCCAUUUAUCUGCAAGCACCAAGUGGAUGUGCAGCCCCUAAACAGUCUGAACCAUAAUGUACCAGGAUCCUGUGUGACAAAUGAAGGCAGUCAGAAUGAGGGCACAACAGGGAGCCUGUCCUCCCUCUUCCUCAUUUCCAUCCAACACAACUGCAUCCCCAUGAACACAACAGCACACUUCCAUCUGCUGAGCGAGCUGCUCUCAUCUCCUCUUACCCUCCCUCUACAUUCACAUGUGCUUGCAUGUGGACUUCACACUCCAGAAGGCAGACACUGCUGGAUUUUAAUCCCCCCGAAUUCUCUGAUGGAUUAAACCACAAAUCUCUAACCCUUCUUAGUGCUGUGGUAAGUAAUGCACAUACUGGCUACAUUGAUUUACAGCUGAAAUAAAAGUGAAAGACAGACAAAAUGAGAUGUCUGAAAAUCAAUCUAUGCUGGAAGUGGAUGGGACAUGAAAGCAUUCUGGAUUAUGUUCUCCUCCCUUCACUUUGCCCAGUGCCUGAUGAAGCAAAAAUCACUGUCUGCAGCAAUAAAAGUUGCAGGUAUGUGUGUUACCCUCCACCUACCUGUAACCCUUCAAUGGCCAGUUUGAGGAUAGAUGGUGUAAGCUUGGAGGCUUGCUUGAAGGAGAAGUUGCUCCAGUCUAUAAUUA